CCGCCUAUAUACCACCGUCGUCAGCUUACCCUGUGAAGGAAAAAUAGUAAGCAUAAAUGGCAAAGCCAAAAACGUCAGGUCGAGGUGUAGCGAAUGGGAUGGGAAGAAAUGGGCUACAUUCUCUGCCACAGAGAAUACGAAUGGUAAUUUGAAAAAAAUACCUGAAGGAGGAUUUAGCAGUAAGUAGGGAAUAGAGCGCCCUACUGAAAACGGCCCUGAAGCGCGCACACACCGCCCGUCACUCUCUCCAAAUAAACCCUGAAUAUUACCUAAAAUGUUUUAUAUAAUAAGGGGAGGCAAGUCGUAA
rnacentral:rRNA from 1 species